rnacentral:rRNA from 1 species
UACGAAGGGGGCUAGCGUUGCUCGGAAUCACUGGGCGUAAAGGGUGCGUAGGCGGGUUUUUAAGUCAGGGGUGAAAUCCUGGAGCUCAACUCCAGAACUGCCUUUGAUACUGAAGAUCUUGAGUCCGGGAGAGGUGAGUGGAACUGCGAGUGUAGAGGUGAAAUUCGUAGAUAUUCGCAAGAACACCAGUGGCGAAGGCGGCUCACUGGCCCGGUACUGACGCUCAGGCGCGAAAGCGUGGGGAGCAAACAGG